UGGGGAAUAUUGGACAAUGGGCGCAAGCCUGAUCCAGCCAUGCCGCGUGAGUGAUGAAGGCCCUAGGGUUGUAAAGCUCUUUCACCGGUGAAGAUAAUGACGGUAACCGGAGAAGAAGCCCCGGCUAACUUCGUGCCAGCAGCCGCGGUAAUACGAAGGGGGCUAGCGUUGUUCGGAUUUACUGGGCGUAAAGCGCACGUAGGCGGACUUUUAAGUCAGGGGUGAAAUCCCGGGGCUCAACCCCGGAACUGCCUUUGAUACUGGAAGUCUUGAGUAUGGUAGAGGUGAGUGGAAUUCCGAGUGUAGAGGUGAAAUUCGUAGAUAUUCGGAGGAACACCAGUGGCGAAGGCGGCUCACUGGACAAUUACUGACGCUGAUGUGCGAAAGCGUGGGGAUCAAACAGG
rnacentral:rRNA from 1 species